rnacentral:rRNA from 1 species
CCCUGCCAUUUGUACACACCGCCCGUCGCUACUACCGAUUGAAUGGCUUAGUGAGGCCUCCGGAUUGGCUAUUGGAAUCCCGCGAGGGAAUCUAACUGCCGAGAAGUUGUACGAACUUGGUCAUUUAG